rnacentral:rRNA from 1 species
GGAAGUGAACCAUCUCAGUACCCGGAGGAAGAGAAAACAACCGUGAUUCCGAGAGUAGUGGCGAGCGAAAUCGGAAGAGCCUAAACCGUCCGAUCCCAAAGGAGAGGGCGGGGUUGCAGGGCCACAAUCAUCAGGUGGCGGUGCGGUCCCCAAAGGACGGCAGCAUCACCUGGUGAGAACGAGGGAUAGAGGCGCGUUAAUCGAACGGUCUGGAAAGGCCGGCCAUAGAGGGUGACAGCCCCGUAGGUGAAAAUGCAAUUCUCCUUUCAGUGGUACCUAAGUACCGCGGGGCACGAGAAACCCUGCGGGAAUCCGCCGGGACCAUCCGGCAAGGCUAAAUACUCGCUUGCGACCGAUAGUGAACCAGUACCGUGAGGGAAAGGUGAAAAGAACCCCUGCGAGGGGAGUGAAAUAGUACCUGAAACCACACGCCUACAAGCAGUGGGAGGGCAUGUGCUCCGCAAGGAGCGGGCCUGACCUCGUGCCUAUUGCAUAAUGAGCUGGCUAGUUAUUCUCAGUGGCAAGGUUAAGCGCAAGCGAGCCGCAGCGAAAGCGAGUCCGAACAGGGCGAUGGAGUCGCUGGGAAUAGACGCGAAGCGGGAUGAUCUACCCUUGGCCAGGAUGAAGUCCGUGUAACAGCGGAUGGAGGUCCGAACCAGUGUUGGUUGAAAACAGCUUGGAUGAGCUGAGGGUAGGGGUGAAAGGCUAAUCAAAUUCCGUGAUAGCUCGUUCUCUCCGAAAUAGCUUUAGGGCUAGCCUCGCGUGUUCCGUCAACUAGGGGCCUUCUUACCGAAUUAAACCAAACUUCGAAUGCCGUUACGUACAGCGCGGGAGUCAGACAGUGGGGGCUAAGCUUCAUUGUCGAAAGGGAAACAGCCCAGACCAUCGACUAAGGUCCCAAAAUCUACGCUAAGUGGGAAAGGAAGUCGGGAGGCUCAGACAGCCAGGAGGUUGGCUUAGAAGCAGCCAUCCUUUAAAGAAAGCGUAAUAGCUCACUGGUCGAGCCGCCCGGCGCCGACAAUAUAACGGGGCUCAAGCGUAGUGCCUUAAGUCAUGGAUCGGCCUUCGGCCGAUGGUAGGAGAGCGUUCCUGCGGGAGUGAAGGCCGACCGGAAGGACGGCUGGACCGGCAGGAAGCGACUCUGCCAGCAUAAGUAGCGAAAAACCAGGUGAGAACCCUGGUCGCCGUAAGUCUAAGGAUUCCUGAGAAAGGUUAAUCCGCUCAGGGUUAGUCGGAGCCUAAGGCGAGGCCGAAAGGCGUAGCCGAUGGACACGCGGUUAAUAUUCCGCGACUACCGAAGCCCGAUCAAGACCGAAGGGGGGACGCAGACCGUAAGCCUGUCCGCGCAAUGGUUACAAAGACAGGUGAAGGGAGGCCGGGAUUGGCAAAUCCGCCCGGCCGUCUGCCAGGAAAAGCCUCUAAGGAGGGUUAGGUAUCCGUACCACAAACCGACACAGGUGGACGAGAUGAGUAUUCUAAGGCGCUCGGGUGAUGGUUUGUUCAGGAACUAGGCACAUUAGCUCCGUAACUUCGGGAGAAGGAGUGCCCUUGAAGGUAGAACGGGCUUGCAGCCUGCUGGCCAAGCGGACUGAAGGUCCGCUCUACCUUUGAGGGCCGCAGUGAAUAGUCUCAGGCGACUGUUUAACAAAAACACAGGUCUCUGCAAAGUCGAAAACGACGUAUAGGGGCUGACGCCUGCCCGGUGCCGGAAGGUUAAAGGGAGAGGUCAGUUGCAAGACGAAGCUUUGAACUGAAGCCCCGGUGAACGGCGGCCGUAACUAUAACGGUCCUAAGGUAGCGAAAUUCCUUGUC